UCCUCGCCGCCCAGAUCUUCAAGGGGUCCCUACAUUUAUAUCCCGGACAGCAGCCGCGGGCCUUGUGCGGAGGGUCCGCCCGGUCCUCCACCAUGCUUUGGGGGCUGCACCCUCACGGACCCGGAACGGCGGCGCUCACCGCGGCUGGGAGCUUAUGGGGGCCAGCCCGUUUUCCCAGCCGCCUGGGGUGUCUGGGGAUGACGAGGAGGCUCGUGGUACGCUCCGUAGCCGGAGCGGACAGCCCCCAAAGCAGCCCGAAAAGCGGCAGAUACCGCGACACUGUGCUGCUGCCGCAGACCAACUUCCCGAUGAAGCUGCUGGGCCACCAGCAGUCCGACAUGGAGCUGGAGAUCCAGCAG
rnacentral:lncRNA from 1 species